rnacentral:rRNA from 1 species
AGUCAAUAGAUACCCAGGUAGUCCACGCCGUAAACGAUGAAUACUAGGUGUAGGAGGUAUCGACUCCUUCUGUGCCGCAGUUAACACAAUAAGUAUUCCGCCUGGGGAGUACGGUCGCAAGAUUAAAACUCAAAGGAAUUGACGGGGGCCCGCACAAGCAGCGGAGCAUGUGGUUUAAUUCGAAGCAACGCGAAGAACCUUACCUAGACUUGACAUCUUCUGCAUUAAUCGUAAUGGAUGAAAUCCCUUCCGGGGACGAGAAUGACAGGUGGUGCAUGGUUGUCGUCAGCUCGUGUCGUGAGAUGUUGGGUUUAAGUCCCGCAACGAGCGCAACCCCUAUUAUUAGUUGCUAACAUUAAGUUGAGCACUCUAGUGAGACUGCCCGGGUUAACCGGGGUAGGAAGGUGGGGAUGACGCCAAAUCAUCAUGCCCCUUAUGUCUAGGGCUACACACGUGCUACAAUGGUGGGUAACAAAGAGAUGCAAUACCGCGAGUGGAGCUAAACUCGAAAACCCCAUCCCAGUUCGGAUUGUAGGCUGAAACUC